rnacentral:misc_RNA from 1 species
AACGCACGAGACCUGCGGACCUGCGGAGGGAUCAUUAAUGAGAAGCUGCCCCUCGUGGGUAGACCUCCCACCCUCUGUGAACUUACCUUUGUUGCCUUGGCAGGCCCGUCCUCUGGACCGCCGGCUUCGGCUGGCCCGUGCCUGCCAGAGGAUUCCAAACCCUGUCUGUCAGUGUUGUCUGAGUCUAUAUGAAAUCGUUAAAACUUUUAACAACGGAUCUCUAGAUCGGAAGAGCACACG